CACAAAUGAUCAGCGCGGUUGGUGAGAGUUCAUAUGGACACCGGAUAAUACGCAAGUUUUAUUGAAUUUAUUCAGUGACUCGAAAGCACUUCCAGUGGCCAAAACAUUAUCCGUUCUAUUUUAAUUAACAAAAAGAAGGUUAUGGUUUCACUUUGCGUACUUAUUUGUAAGGUUGAUGUGGACUUUGGGUUAGCUAAUGAUGGCUAAACAAUAUAGGAU
rnacentral:lncRNA from 1 species